CAUCUUUACAAAUUAGCCACGCCUUCCUUUUUGAACUGUAUUGGAGGACACUGCCCCAAAUUCUACAGUGAUUUCUAUGGAAUAUAUUCUUACCCAAAACGCCGCAACCAAAUUUUAUUGGGCACAUCAGCCAACCCAGGUUAACUUGGGGUCCAUUGACUUUCUAUGGAGUUUUCAUUACACAGUUUUGUUAUUUGUAUUUAUAUCCCUUAAUCUCUUUCUCUUAACCUCUAAUUUUGUCUAUCAUCACCAUCAUCAAUUCAUCAUAUACCUAUCAGAUUCUUGUUUCA
rnacentral:misc_RNA from 1 species